AACGAACGCUGGCGGCAGGCUUAACACAUGCAAGUCGAGCGCCCCGCAAGGGGAGCAGCAGACGGGUGAGUAACGCGUGGGAAUCUACCCAUCUCUACGGAAUAACGCAUGGAAACGUGUGCUAAUACCGUAUACGUCCUUCGGGAGAAAGAUUUAUCGGAGAUGGAUGAGCCCGCGUUGGAUUAGCGAGUUGGUGGGGUAAAGGCCUACCAAGGCGACGAUCCAUAGCUGGUCUGAGAGGAUGAUCAGCCACACUGGGACUGAGACACGGCCCAGACUCCUGCGGGAGGCAGCAGUGGGGAAUAUUGGACAAUGGGCGCAGGCCUGAUCCAGCCAUGCCGCGUGAGUGAUGAAGGCCCUAGGGUUGUAAAGCUCUUUCACCGGUGAAGAUAAUGACGGUAACCGGAGAAGAAGCCCCGGCUAACUUCGUGCCAGCAGCCGCCGCCGUAA
rnacentral:rRNA from 1 species